UGCACGAGGUGUCUGCAAAUAGAUUUUUCCCACGAAAUAGUUGCAGAAAACAUUUUUCGUCGGUGUGCUUUUGCGAUACAGUGACUUUUAUCGUAAGGUAAAUUAGAUGGUUUACUUUAAGGAUAGUGAUAAUCAAUACAACUAAAAUUCACUGAUAGGUUAGUCGAUGUGUGUAGGUUAAAAUGGUUUGUAUCAGGCCCUAGUAACUGCAAAUGUCGCUCUAAUUCAAGAAGCAAACUUUGUGGCCGUUAUGUCAAAGUGUUCCUGCUUAAACAAUUCACAGUGUAGAUUUUAUUUAUACAGUGCCUUGAUAAUUUUUGUGUGGGAACGAACGUUUCAUGUGAGUGGGUACUGUUUUUGAAACGUGUUUCACAAUUUAGUCAGACAUUUUGGAAUGUUAUAUGCGCGCUUGAGUGUUUGAAGAUAUUUAACAGUGUGAACACUAGUUGUUUGUUUCCAAAUAAGGACAUAUUAAACAAGAUGUUGUGAUCUUUACGUAUGCAGCAGCGACACAACGUAAAAUAUUGAGCAACACACUUUGAAUUCUACAGUGACCGACCAUUGUUCCUUGAAGAAGACAGUUCGAUGAACGAAAGAUUGCCCAGUCGCCCGCAUAAACAGCUUAGUCAAUUCUACCACCGAAUGGAGCCCACAUUGUACUGAAUUUUUACAUGCAGGAAGGCACAGCCCAUGACAAAGACUCACAAUGGAGAUAUGUGAUAUAGCACGUGGUCUCCUAGCAACGCCUCGUCGCUUCUUCCUCUAUCGGGAGAGAGUAAAGGAAGAAAUCCUCUGGCCUUAGGGCCGUUAACUUCCAAGAUCAAGGCGGAAACACUGAAGAUUAAAUAAUUUCAUUUCGUCCUUGUGACAAAAUUGGCGACAGUUGAAGAAAUUUCCAUUGCCAACUUGACCUGUGCAGUGCGUGUGCUGACCGAUGGGACAGUGGUAUUAACCUAUGAAAUCC